rnacentral:rRNA from 1 species
UACGAAGGGGGCUAGCGUUGCUCGGAAUUACUGGGCGUAAAGCGCACGUAGGCGGCUUUCUAAGUCGGGGGUGAAAUCCUGGAGCUCAACUCCAGAACUGCCUUCGAUACUGGAAAGCUCGAGUCCGGGAGAGGUGAGUGGAACUGCGAGUGUAGAGGUGAAAUUCGUAGAUAUUCGCAAGAACACCCGUGGCGAAGGCGGCUCUCUGGGACGGUACUGACGCUGAGACGCGAAAGCGUGGGGAGCGAACAGG